CAAAUUAGAGCUUGUUAAGUAAAGCAUUUUAUUUACAUUAAAAAGUUAUCGUGCGAUUCGAUUUAUUUUGA
rnacentral:tRNA from 1 species